UACGUAGGGUGCGAGCGUUAAUCGGAAUUACUGGGCGUAAGGCGUGCGCAGGCGGUUCGCCAAGUCAGGUGUGAAAUCCCCGGGCUUAACCUGGGAAUUGCGCUUGAAACUAGCGGGCUUGAGUGUGGCAGAGGGGGGUGGAAUUCCACGUGUAGCAGUGAAAUGCGUAGAGAUGUGGAGGAACACCGAUGGCGAAGGCAGCCCCCUGGGUCAACACUGACGCUCAUGCACGAAAGCGUGGGGAGCAAACAGG
rnacentral:rRNA from 1 species